GACUGCUAUCGGAUUGAGAUUAAGCCAUGCGAGUCAACCCGAAAGGGUGGCAGACGGCUCAGUAACACGUAGUCAACCUGCCCUAAGGACGUGAAUAACCACGGGAAACUGUGGAUAAACCGCGAUAGGCCAUUGUUGCUGGAAUGGGCAAUGGCUUAAAUCUAUAUGGCCUUAGGAUGGGACUGCGGCCGAUCAGGUUGUUGGUGGGGUAAUGGCCUACCAAGCCUAACCGGUACGGGCUCUGAGAGGAGGAGCCCGGAGAUGGGCACUGAGACAAGGGCCCAGGUCCUAUGGGACGCAGCAGGCGCGAAACCUUCGCAAUAGGCGAAAGCCUGACGAGGUUAAUCCGAGUGUUUCCUGCUAAAGGAAACUUUUACCAGCUGUAAAUAGGUUGGUGAAUAAGGGGUGGGCAAGCCUGGUGUCAGCCGCCGCGGUAAUACCAGCACCCCGAGUGGUCGGGACGAUUAUUUGGCCUAAAGCAUCCGUAGCCGGUCUUCUAAGUCUUCCGUUAAAUCCACCUGCUCAACAGAUGGGCUGCGGGAGAUACUGCAAGACUAGGAGGCGGGAGAGGCGAGGGGUAUUCCUUGGGUAGGGGUAAAAUCCUUGAUCCCAAGGGGGACCACCAGUGGCGAAGGCGUCUCGCCAGAACGCGCUCGACGGUGAGGGAUGAAAGCUGGGGGAGCAAACCGGAUUAGAUACCCGGGUAGUCCCAGCUGUAAACGAUGCAGGCUCGGUGAUGGACUGGCUUCGAGCCAGUCCAGU
rnacentral:rRNA from 1 species